rnacentral:rRNA from 4 species
CGUCGAGCGGCGGACGGGUGAGUAAUGCCUAGGAAAUUGCCCUGAUGUGGGGGAUAACCAUUGGAAACGAUGGCUAAUACCGCAUGAUGCCUACGGGCCAAAGAGGGGGACCUUCGGGCCUCUCGCGUCAGGAUAUGCCUAGGUGGGAUUAGCUAGUUGGUGAGGUAAGGGCUCACCAAGGCGACGAUCCCUAGCUGGUCUGAGAGGAUGAUCAGCCACACUGGAACUGAGACACGGUCCAGACUCCUACGGGAGGCAGCAGUGGGGAAUAUUGCACAAUGGGCGCAAGCCUGAUGCAGCCAUGCCGCGUGUGUGAAGAAGGCCUUCGGGUUGUAAAGCACUUUCAGUCGUGAGGAAGGUAGUGUAGUUAAUAGCUGCAUUAUUUGACGUUAGCGACAGAAGAAGCACCGGCUAACUCCGUGCCAGCAGCCGCGGUAAUACGGAGGGUGCGAGCGUUAAUCGGAAUUACUGGGCGUAAAGCGCAUGCAGGUGGUUUGUUAAGUCAGAUGUGAAAGCCCGGGGCUCAACCUCGGAAUAGCAUUUGAAACUGGCAGACUAGAGUACUGUAGAGGGGGGUAGAAUUUCAGGUGUAGCGGUGAAAUGCGUAGAGAUCUGAAGGAAUACCGGUGGCGAAGGCGGCCCCCUGGACAGAUACUGACACUCAGAUGCGAAAGCGUGGGGAGCAAACAGGAUUAGAUACCCUGGUAGUCCACGCCGUAAACGAUGUCUACUUGGAGGUUGUGGCCUUGAGCCGUGGCUUUCGGAGCUAACGCGUUAAGUAGACCGCCUGGGGAGUACGGUCGCAAGAUUAAAACUCAAAUGAAUUGACGGGGGCCCGCACAAGCGGUGGAGCAUGUGGUUUAAUUCGAUGCAACGCGAAGAACCUUACCUACUCUUGACAUCCAGAGAACUUUCCAGAGAUGGAUUGGUGCCUUCGGGAACUCUGAGACAGGUGCUGCAUGGCUGUCGUCAGCUCGUGUUGUGAAAUGUUGGGUUAAGUCCCGCAACGAGCGCAACCCUUAUCCUUGUUUGCCAGCGAGUAAUGUCGGGAACUCCAGGGAGACUGCCGGUGAUAAACCGGAGGAAGGUGGGGACGACGUCAAGUCAUCAUGGCCCUUACGAGUAGGGCUACACACGUGCUACAAUGGCGCAUACAGAGGGCGGCCAACUUGCGAAAGUGAGCGAAUCCCAAAAAGUGCGUCGUAGUCCGGAUUGGAGUCUGCAACUCGACUCCAUGAAGUCGGAAUCGCUAGUAAUCGUGGAUCAGAAUGCCACGGUGAAUACGUUCCCGGGCCUUGUACACACCGCCCGUCACACCAUGGGAGUGGGCUGC